AUUCUAGAAUGUUCAUGUCAGUACUGCAUAGUAAAUUUCAAUUUCUUCGACUUUAACUCAAUUUUUCUCAAAAUCAACUUUUCAUGCGGUUGAGAAAGGAUAUCUCAAGUUCUAUUUGACCAAUUUGCCUGAAAUUUUCAACAAUAAGUGCUUUCAUAGAGCUCUUGGGGAUGUACAUAGAACUUUUUCUAAGGAUAGAUAGAUUGGGAU